rnacentral:rRNA from 1 species
GACGAACCGUGCGAACGUUGUUCGGAAUCACUGGGCUUAAAGGGCGCGUAGGCGGUCAGCACAAGUCAGUUGUGAAAUCUCCGGGCUUAACUCGGAAAGGUCAACUGAUACUGUGCGACUAGAGUGCAGAAGGGGCAACUGGAAUUCUCGGUGUAGCGGUGAAAUGCGUAGAUAUCGAGAGGAACACCUGCGGCGAAGGCGGGUUGCUGGGCUGACACUGACGCUGAUGCGCGAAAGCCAGGGGAGCGAACGGG